AAAAUUACCUAUCUAUCCAUAUUUGGAUGAGUUGCUUCAAACUGUUCAUGAUCACGAGGUUUCUAUAUCCCCAAGUUACAUCUAGUAAUAAAGUUCUUCAAACCAGUUGGUUCUUGUCAUUGUUGGCGAAACUGAUCCUAGGAAGACUAUGCAGAUACCCAAAUAUCUUCAUGAAGCUGGAUAUACAAAGUUGGAUGUACACAGCCACAGAAGGUUGCUACUAUGGGUGUUGCUGCCUGAAUUUCUCAAGAAAUGGGUGUCAACCUUGUGCAUAAGGUAGGCUACCUUCAAUGCGGAACUCUGGUUUGUUCUGGAUAGCUCGUCAUUAUUCUGAUCUUAGUACUGAUUAAGGUUUGUUGGUAAUGAUGAAUAUUUUAGUUACUGCAUGUGUUUGCUUUAUCAUGUGAUGAAAUGUGCAUGCACAUUUUGAUUCCAAUAUGUCAUUGGCUGCUACGGAUGUUUCUGAUGAAGAACAACCAGAUAUGAAAGAAUCGGCAUAUUUAUGUCUUAGGAAUUUUUCUACAUCUUUUGUAUCAUUUAAUCAACCUUCUUGGGAUUUCGAUAUUACUACUUUUCCUAUUUGAUGAUGUUUUUUGAAAUGUACUUUCUGUUUCUUGUUUGUGUUGGUUGAUGUAAUUUGAUUUCCUUUGUAUUUGGAUAUUGCUAACUAUGUAAUUCUCCUUUGUUGAAGCCCAACAGUAAUGUUUUAUGUCAUCUGCAGGUUGGUUAUUGCAUCUAUUGUGACGAGAUGCAAUAACCAGCCGAUUGAGCUAUCAAAGGAGGGAUGAGAAUUCGAACUAGUGACCUCCGUUUCAUGAGGAGUGAUUUCCAGCCGAUUGAGCUAUCAUUUGAGGACAAGAAACUAAUUACUUGAAUGCAAUUGUAGUUACUAUUCUCUAAAGAGUAAUUUUAAAUAUCACCUCAUGUCUCCUUUGUGUCUUCGAAAAAUGGUCAAGAAGAGAUCAAAACAGCAAUAGGAGUUUGAAACAUGCAAGAGAUGUACAAGAUCAGCUUGAAGGGCUCUUGGAAAGGGCU